UACGAAGGGGGCUAGCGUUGCUCGGAAUCACUGGGCGUAAAGGGUGCGUAGGCGGGUCUUUAAGUCAGGGGUGAAAUCCUGGGGCUCAACUCCAGAACUGCCUUUGAUACUGAAGAUCUUGAGUUCGGGAGAGGUGAGUGGAACUGCGAGUGUAGAGGUGAAAUUCGUAGAUAUUCGCAAGAACACCAGUGGCGAAGGCGGCUCACUGGCCCGAUACUGACGCUGAGGAGCGAAAGCAUGGGGAGCGAACAGG
rnacentral:rRNA from 1 species